rnacentral:lncRNA from 1 species
UUAGGUAGCGUGUGCUAAGGGCAUAUACUAUUUUCAAUGUUGGGGAAUGAUUUUUCAUUAAUGUGGCUCUUUCUUUUAAGUGGGCAGACACUGUUUUUAUUUCCUUUUAUUUUCCACUUUAAUUGCCAUAAUGUCACAAGAGUCCAAAUCCCUAAUUUCCCUCUUUCAUAUUCAAACUGAAUAUCACCUAAAUUUCUUGCAGCCUUGUCAGCUAUUUCCAUAUCAUGCUUUAGA